UAUGUGUAUGAAUAUAUAUGUAUUUUAUACACACACGAAUACACACACAUUUUUUUUUCUUUUUUUGAGACAGGGUUUUGCUCUGUCACCCAGGCUGGAAUGCAGUGGCAUGUUCAUGGCUCACUGCAGCUUUCACCUCCUGGGCUCAAUCAAUCCUCCCACCUCAGCCUCCUGAGAAACUGGGACUACAGACAUAUGCCAUCAUGUUUGGCUAAUUUUUCUUUUUUGUAGAGACGGGGGUCUCACUAUGUUGCCUAGGCUGGUCUUGAAUUCCUGGCCUCAAGCGGUCCUCCUGUCUCAGCCUCCCAAAGUGUUAGGAUUAUAGGCAUGAGCCACUGCACCCAGCCAAUAGUUAUAUUUUUAUUAUAGGUUGCACCCUCUUUGUCUCGUCUCAAGCUUUUAACUUUGAAUUCAACAAACAAAAAGCACGCUGAAUUUGUUGUCAUUAUUUGCAUUUGCCUGACCUACUUUAUUAGUUCACUAUAUAUAUGAUAUAUAAUAUAUAUACACAUAUAUAAUAUAUACACAUUUAUUUUAUAUAUAUGUGUGUGUGUAUAUAUACAUAUAUAUGUAUAUAUAUAUAUAUUUUAGACAAGGUCUUGCUCGGUCACUCAGGUUGGAAGGCAUUGGUGUGAACAGGGCUCACUGCAGCCUUGACCUCUCAGGCUCAAGUGAUCCUCUCCCCUCAGCCUCCUGAGUAGCUGGGACCACAGGCAUAUGCCACCAUGCCCAGCUAAUUUUUAAAAAUCUUUUUGUAGAGGUGGGGUCUUACUAUGUUGCUUAGGCUGGUCUUGAACUCCUGGGCUCAAGCCACCCUCCUGCCUUAGCCUCCCAAAGUGCUGAAAUUACAGGCACGAGCCACCAUGCCUGGUGGCUUUUAAUAUUUCUGAGUCGCAUUGUUUUAGGUUUGUCAUUUGAAAGCACAUGGCUGAAGGGUUUUUUUUUAAUCUAUCCUGAGUCCUUUCCUUUUAAAAGAUGAAUUUUAUCCAGUUACAUUUAUUAUUAAAACACGUGUUUGAUCUUGCCUCUAUUAUAUUAUUUUGUUUUCUGAUUUUAUGUUUUCUUGUUGCUUCUUUUUUCUUCUACCUUUUGCUGUGAGAUCUCUGUUUUUUCUUUUUUUAAAAAAAAAAUUUUCCCUCAGCAAUUUGGAAAGGAUAUAGUUUGCUUUCUGUUAAACAAGUUUACAACUUUAAAUAACACACUCAGAUUUCUCUUUUUCUCAAUAUAUCAUUGACGUGGUUUUUUAACAACAGAGCUUGGCUGUCUACCCUGAUUAGAUUUGCCAGAUGCUUGCCAAAACUCCUCCUCACUUAUGCCAAGCUGAGCUUUCCCUCCACAGCCCAGACGAAAUGGCUCUGGCUGCCCUUGUUUGUGGCUGUUUAAAAACAAAACUCUUUAACAUAUUGUCAAACCAUCUUUCUCUGAAGCCUACAGAGAUUUGGCUCUAGCUGCCAAUGGUAAAACAGCAGGCGGGCUGCAAGUUAUGGCUCCAGGCCCAUUCUGGAACAGGGGUAAGGCAGCAUCGGGUAGGGUGGGAGGCCUAGAGGUUUCGAAGUGACAGCCACAGUGCCUCCCCAUGGUCUAACCCCACAGGAGGAGGCAGCAUGGAAUGGAGGCACAUAGCCUUGGAUCAAAGUGCCCUUUCUCUCACUCUGCAGUCUAAAGCAUUCUCUGUUAGUUGCUCAUCUAUGGGGUUCUCACCUCCCCAGCAAUACAGGCUCUUACUUUCCCUGGUCCAGCAGAGUUUCCACAGGGCUCUUACUUCCCCUAGUCCAGUAAAGUUUCCAUGUCUUUUUUUUUUUUUUUAAAUGGAGUCUCACUGUAUCCCCCAGGCUGGAGUAUAGUGGCAUGACCUCAGCUCACUGCAACCUCUGCCUCCCGAGUUCAAGUGAUUCUCAUGCCUCAACCUCCCAAGUAGCUUGGAUUACAGGGCGCAGUCUCCAGCCUGAAGACAUGGACUCAGUGGAGCCAGCACUGUACUAUAAGCCAGCAUGGUUAACUGCACUGUGACAGCCUGACAGAACACUGAUGCUGUGUGCAGGAAAGAUUUCUGGAGAUGAAAUUGUGUAGUCAAUGAACGUUUUUAGAUUCUGACACAUAGUGCUAAAUGAUCCUCGGAGAAAGGUUUUAACCAAUUCCACGAGCUGCAUAUAGGGAAACUGAGAUACAAAGGAGUUAAACCAGUAAUUCAAAUGAUGGCUUCUACUAUGAAUUCUUACCCAUCAUGUGCCAUCACAGAUAAACCAGGAGCCACCUAUAGUACUAUAUUCAUUCCAAGGGUCUCACUGUAUCACCCAGUCUGGAGUAUAGUGGCGCGAUCUCGGUUCACUGCAACCUCCACCUCCCAAGUUCAAGCGGUUCUUCUGCUUCAGCCUCCUGAGUAGCCGGGACUACAGAAUCUGGUCCUGUCACCUGGGCUGGAGUGCAGUGAUAGGAUCUCGGCUCACUGCAAUCUCGGUCCUGCUGGGGAUCCAAGUGAUCCUCCCACCUCAGCCUCCCAAGUAGCUAGGACCACAGUUCAGCCACAACUUGCUGACCCAGUGAAGCCACCAGUGCUCUUCAUCACACCUAACUUGCUGCUCAGUCCAACCCAAUGGUCACAACCUGAUAAAAACACACUCAACUGAAACCCUGCAUAACUACCAUCUGAAGACCACCCAACAUUUCCAACAGUGCCAUGAGACUUCUACCCGCUGAGAUGUAGCUUUGCCUUCUGUUUGCACAUAGAAGGAAAGAAAAGUAAAAUUACAGCAAGUGGACUCAAAUUGGUGAAAAAAUCUGAAUAGGCCCCGCAGAGAACUACCUAGAGUCUUGGGUUUGGAAAGUAAGAAGAAAAGAAAAUCCUCAUACCCCACAGUGUGAGAGACCUACCUGCCUAUGGGGGUCACUUGAACAGCUGGGCCUGAGACAGGCUGGGUCUGCAGUAACAGCAAGCUUAGAUCAAAUGGGGCCAGAAGUCCCCCUACCACCCCCACACCAACCUCGAUAACGAUCUCAGAAGCUCCUUUUUGAGGCCAGUGGGCUCAUGGCAACUCAGCCCUGGGAUCCUCUAAAGACGGGCUGACUCUGUUUACCUGGACUGAUCCAAUAUGGCCCUGUCCUGGGAGUUGAGAGAUGCCCAACUCUGCCCCUGCCAUGUCAUCCCUCCUGUCUCUGGGCCUCGGUUUCCCUAUCUGUAUAAUAAAGAGGCAGAACUUGAUUUGGUAUCAAGAA